GAUGAACGCUGGCGGCGUGCCUAAUACAUGCAAGUCGAGCGGGAUCCAUCAGGCUUUGCUUGGUGGUGAGAGUGGCGAACGGGUGAGUAAUGCGUGACCGACCUGCCCCAUACACCGGAAUAGCUCCUGGAAACGGGUGGUAAUGCCGGAUGCUCCGACUCCUCGCAUGGGGUGUCGGGAAAGAGUUCAUCGGUAUGGGAUGGGGUCGCGGCCUAUCAGGUAGUCGGCGGGGUAACGGCCCACCGAGCCUACGACGGGUAGCCGGCCUGAGAGGGCGACCGGCCACAUUGGGACUGAGAUACGGCCCAGACUCCUACGGGAGGCAGCAGUGGGGAAUAUUGCACAAUGGGCGCAAGCCUGAUGCAGCGACGCCGCGUGCGGGAUGACGGCCUUCGGGUUGUAAACCGCUUUUGAUCGGGAGCAAGCCUUCGGGUGAGUGUACCUUUCGAAUAAGCACCGGCUAACUACGUGCCAGCCGCCGCUGUAA
rnacentral:rRNA from 1 species